rnacentral:rRNA from 1 species
UACGUAGGGGGCAAGCGUUAUCCGGAUUUACUGGGUGUAAAGGGAGCGCAGACGGAUAUGCAAGUCUGAAGUGAAACCCCACGGCUCAACUGUGGGCUUGCUUUGGAAACUGUAAAUCUAGAGUACUGGAGAGGUAAGCGGAAUUCCUGGUGUAGCGGUGAAAUGCGUAGAUAUCAGGAGGAACACCGGAGGCGAAGGCGGCUUACUGGACAGAUACUGACGUUGAGGCUCGAAGGCGUGGGGAGCAAAC